rnacentral:rRNA from 1 species
GUCCACGCUGUAAACGAUGAGCACUAGGUGUCGUGGGUAUUGACCCCCGCGGUGCCGCCGCUAACGCAUUAAGUGCUCCGCCUGGGGAAUACGGCCGCAAGGCUAAAACUCAAAGGAAUUGACGGGGGCCCGCACAAGCGGUGGAGCAUGUGGUUCAAUUCGACGCAACGCGAAGAACCUUACCUGGGCUAGACAACGGUGGACCGCUCCAGAGAUGGGGCCUUCCCUUCGGGGACCUCCGGUUCAGGUGCUGCAUGGCUGUCGU